GCAUUAGUGGUUCAGUGGUAGAGUGCGUGCUUGCCACGCGGGCGACCCGGGCUCGAUUCGCGGAAAGUGCA